rnacentral:rRNA from 1 species
CAAUAGCGUAUAUUAAAGUUGUUGCAGUUAAAAAGCUCGUAGUUGGAUCUCGGGUCCAGGCUUGUGGUGCAGCUUAGGCUGCUUACUGCUCGUCCUGACCUACCUACCGGUUUUCCCUUGGUGCUCUUAAGUGAGUGUCUUGGGUGGCCGGAACGUUUACUUUGAAAAAAUUAGAGUGCUCAAAGCAGGCUUAUGCCUGAAUAUUAGUGCAUGGAAUAAUUGAAUAGGACCUCGGUUCUAUUUUGUUGGUUUUCGGAACUCGAGGUAAUGAUUAAGAGGGACAGACGGGGGCAUUCGUAUUACGGUGUUAGAGGUGAAAUUCUUGGAUCGCCGUAAGACGAACUACUGCGAAAGCAUUUGCCAAGAAUGUUUUCAUUAGUCAAGAACGAAAGUCAGAGGUUCGAAGACGAUCAGAUACCAU